CAGCUGCCUAGCGAAGGGCAACA
rnacentral:miRNA from 2 species